rnacentral:lncRNA from 10 species
AGACCUGCAUCUGCAUUCCUUUGAGUUUACCACGGACUUGGGGCGGGAUCAAAGGGAAAGUGGCCUGAGCCUGUUUCAUCAAGGGGUUGUGGACCGAAACCAAGGCCGGGGGUGGCGGAGGGCACGCGGAUGAGGGGCUCAGGCCUAGGAAGGGCCGGUCCUGGACACCGCGCCCUCCCCUGCAGCCAGGCGCCGAGGCCUGCAGCACCCGGAGCGCCGCACUGACCCGCGAUUCUGCCCGAAGGCCGGCCCGGGUGCGCCCCGGCGCGGGGAGACACCAACAAGGCCAGCUUUUCCACGAGAGGCUGCUUAGCUCUUGUGACCAUAUUUGGUCUGGCGAGGAGGCAUCUUGGCUGCCUGGCUCUCAAUUGUCUGCUAGAGCACAGACGGUGCCCAGAAAGUGCCUCUGUCACUGGAGAUGCGGCUUCGCCAACGGGUGGGUUGUAAACAAACAACUUUCAAACCAUUCAUCAAUCCUUAAUUUCCUCUACGGGGGUGACUCAGGCCACUAGAGAUUGAGAAGAAAAAGCUGGGUGUUGGAAGAGAAGAGCAAUUGCACCCCCCUCCCCCGCAACAUCCGUGAGGGUUGUGGGAGGAUUGGAAUGUCCCUGCCGCCCUCCGGGGAGCCUGGAGCCGGGAUGGAACCCGAGCAGGUGGCUGGAAGUAGAGAGGGUGCGCCAGUGACCCGAAAAAAGCCACCCACCUUCCCACCAACUAGAUCUGGGCGAGGGAUGGAGACCCCCUGCCUCUAGCUAAGGGAAGAAGGUCAAGUCUGGCGAAACAGCUGCGGGAAGUAGGAGGAGGCCUUGCCCUUCAGAGCAGCUCAAUUUCUUUUCUCUCUGGUUGCCUCUCCACUGAGGGGAAAGGGUGGGGGGAGAUGGCGAGGUAAGCCAAAUUCCAGGAAGCCCCUACUCCACCCCAUUUGAUUCAAAUAGGAGUUUAUUAAGUAAAUCAAACGAGACAAUGUAAAGCACUUCGCACAGCACCGGGCUGGUUACGUAAGUGUUUGUUAAAUAAAAGAGAACUGUAUGUUCUUCAAGUUCACGUAUUGUGCCUUAAUUUUUUUUUUUUUUUUUUUGAGUGACGUCUCCCUCUUGUCCCCCAGGCUUGAGUGCAAUAGCUCCAUCUCAGCUCACUGCAACCUCCGCCUCCCGGGUUCAAACGAUUCUCCUGCCUCUGCCUCCCAAGUAGCUAGGAUUAAGACGCCUGCCACCACGCCCAGCUAAUUUUUGUAUUUUUUAAAAGCAAAAAUGGGGUUUCACCAUGUUGGCCAGGCUGGUCUCAAAUCCUGACUUCAGGUGAUCCGCCCGCCUCAGGCUCCCAAAGUGCUGGGAUUACAGGCAUGAGCCACCGCGCCCAGCCUGCCUUAAUAUUUUUACAGGGUAAAAUAAAGUCGAAGUUAAAAUCUGGAGCUGCCUUGGAGGAGAAAAGUUUAAGGAAAAGACAAGGCCACUCAUAGUUUUGCCUCGGAAAAGGUAGAAUUUUGGGGCCACUCCCUGAAUGGCUGCAUCCAUAUCCAAAACAGAACCACCAAAGUGAGCCACUUCCCCUGUUAUCUGUACUUGGAGGUGGCUCCAAUUCCAGACUCCUCAUAGACUGGAAGAAAUUAGGGCCAUCUUAGACUAAGGCAGGCAUACACGUAUCAUCCUUUUUUUUUUUUUUUUGAGAUGGAGUCUCACUCUAUUGCCCAGGAUGGAGUGCAGUGGCAUGAUCGCGGCUCACUGCAACCUCUGCCUCCCUGGUUCAAGCAAUUAUCCUGCCUCAGCCUCCCGAGUAGCUGGGAUUCUGUGCAGCAAGUCCUCUGCCCAUAGGACUGGCAAAAGGAAAGGGGAAACUAGCACAGGUCACUCCUUGGAAAGUAGAAUCUUUGCAAGCUACUCUCAGAAGCCAUCACAGUUGCAACAACAGGGGAAAUAAGCUAUCGAACAAGAGGAAGUGACUGGAACCUAAUGAUACUAAUUCAGAAGUCACAAGGCUGACUUGAUGAUUAAAAGAUGAAAACUUGAGGCCAGCCCUACUCUAGGAAAGUCCUCACUCCCGAAGAAAGGUGAGAAUCAGGGUUGGAAUUAGAUGGGCAGUGAGAAUCUGGGUUGGAACUGGAUGGGCAAGGAUGCAGUCUUCGUUUCUUUCCAAGCUUCAAGAAAUAGAUAGUGCAACAGAUAAAGUAGAUGUAUGAAACGGAAAUUGCCCUUAACACAGGAUAACUGAAAAACUCCCAGUUCCCAAAUAGCAUAUAAGAUGUAAUAGUGAAUAAUUCAAAAGAUUUGCUGUUGUCCCAGCCAUUCCAACAACAGCUUCAGAUUAAAUAACAUUUACAGAUGUCUUGUAUGUAUCAGGUACUGCCCGUAAGAGGCAGCACAGUGGAUAAGUGUAUAAUUUCUGGAACAAAACAGCUGAGUCACUUCAGACAAGACAUUUAAGCUCUCUAUUCUUGGGUUUCCUCCUUUGUAAAUUAGGGACAAUAACAGUACCCACCCCACAGGAUUCUAGGUGAAAACACAUACACAUUUUAUUUGUUGAUAUUUGAUUUAGAACACAAUAUUUGAAGCUGGCUCUAUCUGCUACAUUAUGCAAGUAGCUUAGCAUUCCUAAGUCACAGUUUACUCAUUUACAAAUUGGAAAUAAUAUUGUGGUAGUCUCUCUGCUGCGUUGCUGCCUUUCAAUGGCCCAGCCUCAUGUUAUUUAUACCUUUACGUAGCCCCUUCCACUUAAUCUGGACUGGGCCAGUGAUUUGCCUUAACCAGGAAAAUGUGGCAGUGAAGUUGUGCCACUUCCCUGCCUUUCCCAUCCCAUCCCCUAGGAAGGUAUGGAAGCUUCCACUUUGUACUUUUAGGAGACCUGAGCCACUAAGUAAGAAGUCCAGUUACCCUGUUGGAUAAACCACAUGGAGAAGGAAAGGCCCUGAGAUACUUGGAGAGAGGGAAAAGUCCAGCUGCCCAGCACCUGAGCUGAGCCCAGCCUCAGCCAACCCCACCGGCUGACUGCAAACACAUCAGUGACCACCAGUAAGACCAGCAGAGCUGCACAGCCAAGCCCAGCCCAGAUUGCAGAAUUGUGAGCAAAUAAAAUGGAUAUUGCUUUAAGCCACAAAAUAUUGAAAUGUUUUUUAAAUGUAGAAUGUGCAUUCUAAGAAUAAAAAGUUGCAAAUAAAGUCUUUUUUUUUUUCUCAGACAGGGUUUCACUUUGUUGCCCAGGCUAGAGUGCAAUGGCUUGAUCUCAGCUCACUGCACCCUUCACCUCCCAGGUUCAAGUGAUUCUUGUGCCUCAGCCUCCCGAGUAGUUGGGACUACAGACGUGCACCACCACGCCUGGCUAAUUUUUGUAUUUUUUUAGUAGAGGCAGGAUUUCAUCAUGUUGGCCAGGCUGAUCUUGAACUCCUGGUCUCAAGUGAUCCGCCCACCUUGGCCUCCCAAAGUGCUAGGAUUAUAGGCUUGAGCCACCAUGCCCGGCCACAAAUAAAGUUUUUUUUUUUUUUUUUGAGACGGAGUCUUACUCUGUCACCUAGGCUGGAGUGCAGUGGCACAAUAUCAGCUCACCACAACCUCCACCUCCCGGGUUCAAGCGA